UUUCCGUAGGUGAACCUGCGGAAGGAUCAUUAUUGUAUAACCGAGGUGCGAGGGCUGUCGCUGACCCGAAAGGUCGUGCACGCCCGAGUGCCCUCACACACAUCCAUCUCACCCCAAUGUGCACCACCGCGUGGGUCCCCCUUUGGCUUGUUCGGAGGGGGGCUUACGUUUUCACACAAACUUUGUAUGCAGUGUAGAAUGUAUUUUUUGUUUUUGCGAUCACGCAAUCAAUACAACUUUCAACAACGGAUCUCUUGGCUCUCGCAUCGAUGAAGAACACAGC
rnacentral:misc_RNA from 1 species